rnacentral:lncRNA from 1 species
AAAACUAGUUAAAAGUCUAUCAGAUUCACAACGAAAGAAACAUACUUGAAGAGACAGAGAGUAACCUUCUUCGCCUGAACUUGCUGCAUCCUCUUCAAAAAGAUAAUAAAGGUCGAGUCUUUACGGAUGAUUCGACGAAACAGAGGAGGCGAGAAGAAUGAUAAAAAAAACAGAGUGAUUUUUCUCAGCAACCAAUAAGUAGAAAGGUGAGAAAGUUAGACCAAACUAAACCGAACCAAACCAAACCGGGGAAGGAUACCGUUCGCUCAACAACCCUAUCGUCUUCCUCAGAUUCAAAAUCCAAAACUCAGCAACCUUUAAACCCUUAACCAGAAAAAAAGAAACCCUUUUUUAAUAUGAAUGAUCUCAGAGGAGAUCUCAAUAAACAAAUUACAGUGACCAAUGAAAAAAAAUGGCGAUUCUUGGAAUCACAAAAAAAAAACCCAGAAACCAAAACCCGAUGAAUGCACUUCACAGAGAAAAAAGGCUUCUUCUUCGGAGAGAUGAGAAGAUCUAUAGAUCCAGAGAUGAGAGGAGAUCUGUAGAUCACUCACAAAUGUUUGUUUGUUUGUUUGGUUAUAUAAAUCUAAUUUUAGCAAUUUUCGUGGUACUUAUUUGCGUACGAGGGGACAGGUCACGAGGCGAUGGCAUUCUCGUAGUUCUUUACAAACUCUGAGGAUUGUUUUGUUACCGUUAGGUACACUGUCGGUGUUCUUUUUUGAGAUAGACCCGUUGUGAGGCAACCUACCGUUGGGCGACCCUUUUUACUAUUUAAAUUCUAACCAUCCAACUAUUCAUAAAUCGAAUUUUAGCCACUAUUUUUAUCAUAUGGUUCAAUUACCCCCUAAAUUGGUCAUUUUUCUUGGUAAUAUUAUAAUUUUGGCAAAAAUUGGUGGGCAGUCAAGUUGGUGACUUGAUCACUGUCAUUGAUGUUUCAGUCAAUAAAUAUGAUUAAAGCUUUAAUAAAGAGAAAAAGAUCAAAAUAACACUAAAUCAAGUUUUUGUUCCCAAACUAGCAUUCAAAGCCAAAAGUCACAAAAAUAGCACUUAAGAGGUGGGGUUUAGGGUUUAGAAUUUAGGGUUUAGGGUUUAGAGUUUAGGUUUUAGGGUUUAAAGUUGAAAAGUGAGGUUUUGGAGAUAAGAUUUCAAAUUUUGAAAAAUAAAAAAAUUUAAAUUUUUCAAAAGAUAUAAUGCUAUUUUGGUCAUUUUAGUUUUUGAGUGCUAUUUUUGUGAUAUAAACUUAGAAAUGUGCUAUUUUGGAGAUUUGCCCUUUAAUAAAUCCCACAAGUUUAUAAAUAGAGCCGUAUAACUUACCUAACUAUCGUUAAAGUUUAUACACAUGGCCGCAAUUGAAAUAGCAAUUACUAUUACUUUAGUUUCUUAAUAAUAAAUUAAUAAUUUUACUACUAUCGUGAUUACGAUUAUAACUUAUAAGUAAUGAGAAGACUCAAGUGUCAAACAACUAUAGGAUGAUUUCCGCAAGCGACCUUGCUGUUGAUGCCGCUACAACGUUAAGAUCACCAAAUAAGAUUGCAUGUCUCAAACCUUUUGAAAAAAAAGACUGCAUGUCGCUCAUUGGUUUCUCUGACUCAGUCUCAAGAAAAAUGAUUAUAUAAAACAUUAUGAUACUCGUGGAAAAUAAAUGUCAAUUAUACAAGUUAACGUUCGUUCCUAACUUUCUUUUUGAGUAAUUCAUUUAUUUUACAACUUGAGUUAUCUGUUUAUAUAUAUAUAGUUGUACACAAAAUAAUAUAGUUUUGAGGUAUUUAAACAUAUGGGUGAGUUGCAAAGUCGGUCCAUUAACUAAAGCAUGAAAAAGACAUACAAUAUCACGGAUCUAAAAGAAUCUCAAAUCUUAAGCCACAUAAAUAGUAUCAUUUAAUAUAUCAAUGUAGGGCAAGGUGUCAAGUGACAAUAUUUAAACAUUUCAACUAAAGUUAAUCUUUCAUUUUCCAUCACACUUUCAUCGUUGUGGUGACCUUUUCUUUAAUAAUAAAAAUACAUACCAAGUCAAUAAGCUAUUUAAUAAUUACAUUGUGAUGGUAUUGGAAACGUGUAAAGUCGGUAUCUCUAUAUCACAGCACAAACUGAUAAGGCCUCCGUAACCAAAAAUUGUUCCAUACAUUUGAUAAUUGCUUAAAAUAACAUGUUACAAGUUCAUAUAAUAUAUCAAACUUGCAGAAAAUUUUGAGAUUUCAGGCUUAGCUUUCAGCAUGACAUAGAAGUCAAUCCAAACUUUUAGGCGACCUGACACAUUUUUAAUAUUCUUGAGGUUCUUUUUAGUACGGAUUUUAAAUACUAGAUCGUGUUGUUUGACAUAUUCAUUUUUUGGUAUGAAUUGACAUAUUUAUUUUUCAGGUAAACCGCAGGAAAUAUACUUUCAGUUUUUUUGCUACUCCUUUGACUGGAAAACGUUAAUCGAGUAGUUUUUUGUUUACUUGUUUUCAUCCAGAUGUGCGUUUUAAAACUAUCAAAACAGUACAAAGGAUAAAGUUUACCAAAUGAUAAACAUAACUCUUGUUUUAUGAAAAACAUACUCGUUUUAUCUUUAUUCAAAUGUGGUAUUGCAAGACUCAGAAAUAUCUCAGACAUGCAGAUUUUUUUUUCUUGUUUUGUUUGGUAGCCUCUAAAAGAAUCAACGAACGUUACGAACCUAAUUCAUAGUUCAAUCAGUGUUCAAUAUUAAAAACAAAUCCUUAUCAAUAUUAUUAUGCUAACAAGUUUUUGUCCCCUGUUACAUCAAGUAAAAGAAAAUAUCUAAUAACGUAUAACACCAAAACAUCCUUUUCAAUCUUCUACACCAGAAAUAUACAGAGGACCUUUUACCAAAAAAAUAAUAAUACAUAGGACCAUAAGUUAAUAUAUUCAUUUUUGCUGAGAUUCAGUCUGAUACAUAUAUAUUAUUAUACCCAACAAUAAUGCAAUUACAUAAGUUAAAAAAAAACAAUAAUGCAAAUACAUAAAGUUGAUAAAAGAAGACAAUAGAGGAUGCUGCAUCAUGUCAAUAAAAUCAAAAUAUAAUGCAUACCUAGUGGUCCUGUGAAAGUGGCAGUAGAAGUUGCAUGUGGUUUAGGGCACAUCAACAAUUGUGUAUGUCGUGUACUUGUCCAAAAGGCAUAUUCUUUUAUUUUGAAACAGAGCAUCCACAUUCCACAGAGAGAUUUAAUAUCAAAGUUCCACUGAGAAUAGAGACAAAUAUGAUUAAAUAUCUGCCGUAACCCACAAGGAAACUCAGAGGUUGAAAGGAUAUAAUAGUCAGAGACGCAUUCUCGACUAAAAACCAUGGGUUAGAACAUAACUUGACUAAUCUUAUUUCUCUUACAUAUAAUAAGCUCAUAUGAAAACAUGACACAUGUGUCAUGGAAUGGAACUAUAUCUUGUGCAUUAUAAGAUGAGCACCAAACUGUGGGUGAAGGGUGAACACCGUGUAAGGAGCAUGGACAUAGGAAGGAGAAAGAUCAAAGGAGAAUCUCUGUAUAAUCAAUGCCAUUGCCAUCUUUGCCUCCAACAUGGCAAAAUUUUGACCUAUGCAUAUCCUUGGCCCCCAAGAAAAUGGAAUGAAGGAGACUUGGCUCUUUGUUGCCUUUGAGAUGCCAUCUUUGAAUCUCUCGGGUUUGAACUCCGCUGCAUCGUUACCCCAUUGCUGGAUGUCGCGUUGGACUAGCAUAAUAGGUAGAGUGAUGUUGACGCCACCAGGUAGCGUCACGCCGCCUAGCUUCAUCUCUUUGUGAAUGGCUCGAGUCAUAUUGAUUACUGGAGGAUAUAGCCUAAGGACCUCUUGUAAUAUCAUCGUCAUCUGUUGGAAACAUUCAGCAAAAAUCAUCAUAACACAACCAGAGUACUGAAGUCACUUCAAGUUUGUUUUUUAAUUUUAUUUUACUUACAACUUUGAGCUGGUUCAAGCCUUCUGCAUUGGGUUCUGUAUCACCAAAAACUUGCUUGACUUCUUCUCUAGCACGAGCCUGCCAGUCUUGGUGUUGGCUUAGAAGAAUCAUUGUCCAAACUAGAAGUACUGAAGUUGUCUCUUGUCCAGCAAAGUAGAACAACUUGCACUCCUCUAUCACAUCUUCAAUGCUCAUUCCGUUUCCUUUACCUUGUCCUAAAUUCGAUUCAAGAAGUGUACCUAGCAAAUCUUGGCUUGGUGCUUCCCCAGCUUCUAUGGCCCUUAGCCUUUUGUUAACGAUCCCUCUCAGUAUAGCUUGGCUUUCUCUAGCUGCUGCUUUCAUCCUUCUAUUACCCUUCGUUGGGAGAUAACUACGUAGAGAUAUCAGCUGGUUCCAAUAAUACUUACAUUACAUAACGACGAAUGAGGGGAACAAUCAUCACCUGACACCAACAAACGGCUAAUUCUAAGACAUGCCAUACCCAACCGUGCCUACGCUUCGGUGUGCUGCUACUGCAACCGCGGCGGCUCCAGCAGGACCGUACUGGGAUUGUGCCUGCAACAGCUUAGCAUCAAUACCCACCUUGUGCUGUGAUUGGACGACAUAAGGGUUUGGGUUCAGCUCAGCUGGCUUUGCGGAGUUGCAUUGUGUUGGGACAAACUGCGGUUUUGGCUGAGAAGCAGGUUCUGUACCACCACCACCACGCUUCUCUUGGUUCAUGGUGUUAGGAUGGAAGAAACCGUUAGGAGAUGCGGUCUGUGGAGGGGGUACUGUACUUCUGUAGUAAGAUGUCCUUGCAUCAUGUGACGACUCUUUGAGGUUCCUGUUGUUCGCAUAAGUUACAGAUGAUGAUUCCACAGCACGGCCUGGUCUAGCUGAUGGUACUCUUGGAGGAGGUCGUAAAGGUUUAGUUGGAUUAGCUGAAGUUGAUGGAACCACUCCAUUUCUUGAAGGCUCGAAAGAAACACGUCGAGUGUCUGGUGCAUUCAAGCCAGGUUGAGCAUUGGAGCUUACUACACUGGAGUGGACUGUAGACCUACAAAGAUGAACAUGAAGAGAUUAAUCACAAGUGCCAUACUGAAUCAAUCUGCACAGAAGAGAAAACAAUACCGAGGAAGUGAAGUAUGCUUUCUCUCUGGAGGUAUGACUGGCCCACUUUUGCCGCUAUUCUCUUCUAGGUACGCAAACUGUUUCCUCAGAUGACCAAUGGCACUGCAACAUCAAAAUCAAUCUAUCAGCAAAAAUGAAAAAUGAGAAAAAAUGGUUUUGAAAGAUGCAAGUAAGAACCUAGGAUAUAAGAAACUAGAGCCUUCAGAUCCGUUCAUAUAAUCCUUGAGCAGCUGAGGAUGGUAUUCUAGUAUCUCCCUGUAUAUCAGCUCUCUAAUGUCAUCCUUUGUUAACCUUCUUCGUUCAAACUCAAAUUCCAUCUUCGAGAUUUGCUGACAAGAAGGUUCCCUUUCAAUCUUAGCAAGACCCUUAAAGUAAGGAUCAGCCAGGGCCUGUCAAAUAACAUCACAAUGUUAAGGAGCUGAGAUAUAAACAAGAGCCUAUCCUUGAUAUGAACAAGAAGAGAAAGGAAGGAAGCAAGACACCUCUGUAGCAGUUGGCCUAUCCUUUGGAUCAAAAGCCAACAGUCUCUGCAAAAGGCGCAAUGCUGAAGGAUCUGCGUUAGGAAACUUUUGCGUAAAGGGGACUGGACUCUUCUUCCUCAUUUCCCCCAGGUAUUUUCUAGCUUUUUCAUUUCGAACCUGCGUUACAGAUAAUAUAUCAUUAGUUUAUGCAAAAAUGAACAUACUCCAGCAAACAAAAAUAGAAACUUGGUAAUGAGGAAAACAUACUCCAGCGAUGGUCUCUGAUUUUGGUGUGCCAAGAAGAUCUGUGAUGAGUUCUAACUGAUGAACCACGCUUUUACCAGGAAACAGAGGCUUCCCUAACAACACCUCCGCAAAGAUGCAGCCAAUGCUCCAAAUGUCAAUCGCUGGAGUAUACUGCACAAAAAAAUACAAACCGCAACUCAGUCUCUUGAGCAUCUACAAACUGCAACUCAGUUAUAUCUCUAGCCAUACACAACCACACAAGUACCUUGGAACAGAAUGAGCCACAGAGCUCAGGUGCCCUGUACCAUCUCGUCGCAACAUAAUCCUGAAACAAGAAAGACAGAAGCAAAUUCAAACACAUUGGAGAGAUUACCAAAACUGAGUAGGUAAUCAAGAGAAAGGUGGAGACAAACCGUCCAAAAGACUGUGGUAGGCGUAUCAUUGAAGGACACUCUCGCUAGUCCAAAGUCACAAACUUUCAACUUGCAGUUCGCAUUAGCCAGAAUGUUCUUCGGUUUAAGAUCACGAUGGUAAACAUUAGCCGUAUGCAUAUACUUCAAGGCACGAAGCAUCUGAUAAAGAAAAAACUGAUGGUGCUCCUUCGUCAAGUCAUCAUUAGCUUUGAUGACUUGGUGCAGAUCCGACUCCAUGAGCUCAAACACGACGUAAAUGUCUUUGAACUCUCUUUUAGAAGGCGGAAGCAUGAUGCUCUUGAUCUCGACUAUGUCAGGAUGCCUCAGGAGGCGGAGAAGCUUGACCUCGCGGAGGAUACGGAGAGCGUCGGAGAUGUGUUCGAAGACGUCGUUGAUCUUCUUGAUGGCGACUUUCUCUCCCGUGUGCGUGUCGAUGGCUGCGCACACGACUCCGUAGCUUCCUUUCCCGAUGACUUCGAGGAUCUGGUAACGGUUUGCGUCGCCGUACUCUGUGAAAAAGUCUAUCUCUUUCAUGCUCUGUUUUGCAUCACCAAAAGCAAAGAAACAGAGCAAAACUAGUUAAAAGUCUAUCAGAUUCACAACGAAAGAAACAUACUUGAAGAGACAGAGAGUAACCUUCUUCGCCUGAACUUGCUGCAUCCUCUUCAAAAAGAUAAUAAAGGUCGAGUCUUUACGGAUGAUUCGACGAAACAGAGGAGGCGAGAAGAAUGAUAAAAAAAACAGAGUGAUUUUUCUCAGCAACCAAUAAGUAGAAAGGUGAGAAAGUUAGACCAAACUAAACCGAACCAAACCAAACCGGGGAAGGAUACCGUUCGCUCAACAACCCUAUCGUCUUCCUCAGAUUCAAAAUCCAAAACUCAGCAACCUUUAAACCCU